rnacentral:tRNA from 1 species
AAGAAAUUAGUUUAUAUAAAACAAGAGAUUUCGACUCUCUAAAACUUAAAUUAAGAUUUCUUU